rnacentral:rRNA from 1 species
AUUGAACGCUGGCGGCAUGCCUUACACAUGCAAGUCGAACGGCAGCACGGGUGCUUGCACCUGGUGGCGAGUGGCGAACGGGUGAGUAAUACAUCGGAACGUACCUUAUCGUGGGGGACAACGCAGCGAAAGCUGUGCUAAUACCGCAUACGCCCUGAGGGGGAAAGCGGGGGAUCGCAAGACCUCGCGCGAUUAGAGCGGCCGAUGCCUGAUUAGCUUGUUGGUGGGGUAAAAGCCCACCAAGGCGACGAUCAGUAGCUGGUCUGAGAGGACGAUCAGCCACACUGGGACUGAGACACGGCCCAGACUCCUACGGGAGGCAGCAGUGGGGAAUUUUGGACAAUGGGGGCAACCCUGAUCCAGCAAUGCCGCGUGAGUGAAGAAGGCCUUCGGGUUGUAAAGCUCUUUUGUCAGGGAAGAAACACCGGCUCUAACACAGUCCGGGAAUGACGGUACCUGAUGAAUAAGCACCGGCUAACUACGUGCCAGCCGCCGCGGUAA